rnacentral:rRNA from 1 species
CCUGACGGAGCAAGACCGCGUGAGGGAGGAAGGCUCUUGGGUUGUAAACCUCUUUUCUCAGGGAAGAAGCUCUGACGGUACCUGAGGAAUCAGCCUCGGCUAACUCCGUGCCAGCAGCCGCGGUAAUACGGAGGAGGCAAGCGUUAUCCGGAAUUAUUGGGCGUAAAGCGUCCGCAGGUGGCGAUUCAAGUCUGCUGUCAAAGCACGGGGCUUAACUCCGUUAAGGCAGUGGAAACUGAAUAGCUAGAGUGCCGUAGGGGUAGAGGGAAUUCCCGGUGUAGCGGUGAAAUGCGUAGAGAUCGGGAAGAACAUCGGUGGCGAAAGCGCUCUACUGGACGGCAACUGACACUCAGGGACGAAAGCUAGGGGAGCGAAUGGGAUUAGAUACCCCAGUAGUC